rnacentral:rRNA from 1 species
UACGGGGGGGGCAAGCGUUGUUCGGAAUUACUGGGCGUAAAGGGCUCGUAGGCGGCCAACUAAGUCAGACGUGAAAUCCCUCGGCUUAACCGGGGAACUGCGUCUGAUACUGGAUGGCUUGAGUUCGGGAGAGGGAUGCGGAAUUCCAGGUGUAGCGGUGAAAUGCGUAGAGAGUCGGGCGGAACACCAGCGGCGGAAGGCGGCAUCCCUGGCCCCUGACCUGACGCUGAGGCGCGAGAGGCGUGGGGAGCAAACUGG